GGAUUGCUAUUCAAAUGCGUGCAUAGAUUUAUGGAUAAUAUUCCAGGAUACUUUCAUAUAAUAUUAUAUUGAGCAAGCAAUGGAUGUGAACAUAACAAUCUCUCUUUUGAUAGAGUAGUUGCAGAUAUGACUUACAAUUACAAAUCUAGCUACUAGAGAAUGCAUCAAUCUCCACUUCUCUAUAGGAAUCCUACUUCAUAGGUACAUAAUGAAAUUUUCAUCGCUAAAGUUGCAUGAACUGCUCAAACCUGUAGGCCCAAAAACAUUAAAGAUAUUAAACAUAAAACAUUAAAGUCCAUAGUUCUAGAGAAGUGAAUGUGCCAACUUAUCUAGUGAUGCCUAGGCGAAUCUAAAACCCAGGUUGACUAUUUCUCUCACAAAUACACCAGAUAAGAGCGUAUUGCAAAAUAUCAAAUCAAGACCGGAGCUCUAGUGAACCUCUUAGAGAUUCAAGCAUCAUUUAUUAUGGGCAAAAGGCUUAUAUUAGCCCUUAAAAUACGAGCCAAUAAUUAUAUAAAUUCUUAAAGAGUUUGCGAUUCAAUCAAGCUCUUCAAAUUUAAAAAAAGAUCAAAUAAGUCAUUCAAAUUCUAAUAAGAAGUCCUUCAAAUUUUAAUAAUAGAUCACAUAAACCCUUUUAUUAUUUUGAAGACAAAUAAAACUUUAGCUUUUAAAAAUGGAUAAAACGAUUGAAUUAUAAUUUGCAUAUAAUAUAAAUCCAACUAAGAGAGUCCUCAUCAGCAAUCAUGCGUAUUUGAUUUGCAACAUCUUAGUGAGUAUCCGUUACAUCUUGAAGCAUAAUGAUUAGUUAUUCUUUACUGAACGAUUUAAUAAAUUUCUUUAUGAGUUCAUCAUCUUUGUCAUAGUUGCUACAGAGAAGCUUAUUGAACCAUCCGGUAAAGAAGUUCCAAGAUACAGUAGAUAUCCACCGGGAUGUUACAAAUCAAAUACACAAUAUUGUUGAAGAGAACCAUGUGCACUAUAAGAUUUUCAUGCGCAAUCUUUGUUAGAUUUAUAUUAGAAGCAAAAUAAAGUUCAAUAUUUUUUUAUCUAUUUUUAAAAGUUAAAGUUUUUGUUUGUCCUCAAGGUCUUAUUUGAUCUAAUUUUAAAAUUUAAAAGACUUAUUUGAUCUUUUUUAAAAGUUGAAAGGCUUAAUUAUACUCUGAAACACUUCAAAAAUUUAUAUGACUAUUUAACAUAAUUUUAAGCCUUAAGGGCCUAAAUAUGCCUUUUGCCUUUAUUACAUGAAUAGAAACAUAUUGCAGGAGAUAGGCCACAGUCAUUCUACAAAGUUCCCCGUCAAAUAACUGUCCUUAACGAAAAACUUGUGUUCUUUGGAAAAAUUCAAUUGCUUUGUGAUUCAAAAGCAAGCAAACACCAAAUCAACCAAAUGACUUCACAAGACAAGUAUGUAACCUUGAAUAAGCUUCAAGGGCUUAAUUAAUAUAGGGAUGCAUAAUUAAGGAUUACAUUCAUAGGAUUGCUAUUUAAAUACCUUUUAAAAAGCUUAUAGUUUUUGUUGCAUAAUAUUAGGAUUUCAUACUUGGAGUUUUAACCAGUUUCUUACACCUUAAACACACAGCUAACAAUAGUGGUUAAUCGUCUUUGCUAUUGCCAACUAAAAGCUUAGGACAAAGCCUAUUGAAUAGAUUACUCUUAACAAAUAGUUUUCAACAUACCCUCUAUAUGCUUAUCUAGUUUCAAAGACUGAUCCUAAUUUCAAGCUUAAUAGAUUAUUCAGACAUAACCUUUAUUUUCUAUGAAUUUUUUUGUUGACAAUCAUUAGUGACAUUGACACAUUUCUAAAAAGUAGAAAUCCCUUCAUAUUUUGUUUAGAUCGACUUUCAAAUGGUGAAUUCAUCAGAGAUCUUACUUAUAGCAACAAGGUUUGCAUGGUUUAGGUGCUAUUCUCUGGUACCAUUCACGCUAGCCAACUCUUUCUCCCUCCAAAUUGCAUGCACUUCAUCAGUUCGGAACCUCUGGGUGAAAGUUGAU
rnacentral:misc_RNA from 1 species